GAAGCUGACCAGACAGUCGCCGCUUCGUCGUCGUCCUCCUUCGGGGGGAGACGGGCGGAGGGGAGGAAAGUCCGGGCUCCAUAGGGCAAGGUGCCAGGUAACGCCUGGGGGGUGUCACAGCCCACGACCAGUGCAACAGAGAGCAAACCGCCGAUGGCCCGCGUAAGUGGGAUCAGGUAAGGGUGAAAGGGUGCGGUAAGAGCGCACCGCGCGGCUGGUAACAGUCCGCGGCACGGUAAACUCCACCCGGAGCAAGGCCAAAUAGGGGUUCAUAAGGUACGGCCCGUACUGAACCCGGGUAGGCUGCUUGAGCCAGUGAGCGAUUGCUGGCCUAGAUGAAUGACUGUCCACGACAGAACCCGGCUUAUCGGUCAGUUUCACCU
rnacentral:RNase_P_RNA from 1 species